rnacentral:rRNA from 1 species
AGAGGAUGUUUCUGGCGCGGUGCCUUCCGAGUUCCCUGGAACGGGACGCCACAGAGGGUGAGAGCCCCGUAUGGUCGGACACCAAGCCUGUGUGAAACUCCUUCAACGAGUCGAGUAGUUUGGGAAUGCUGCUCUAAAUGGGAGGUAAAUCUCUUCUAAAGCUAAAUACCGGCCAGAGACCGAUAGCGCACAAGUAGAGUGAUCGAAAGAUGAAAAGCACCUUGAAAAGGGGGUUAAAUAGUACGUGAAAUUGUUGAAAGGGAAGCACUUAUGACCAGACUUGGGCCGGGCGGCUCAUCAGGGGUUCUCCCCUGUGCACUCCGCCCGGCACAGGCCAGCAUCGGUUUUCGCGGGGGGAUAAGACCGACGNGAACGUAGCACCCUCCGGNNUGUGUUAUAGCCCGGCGGACGAUAC